UUCAGUCAAAUUUGUAUGCAGUUAGAACGUUUGCCUAUGUUUGCCAAUAGGGGCGCUGUACCAUCUGGAUACAAAUUUGAGUUA
rnacentral:pre_miRNA from 1 species